rnacentral:rRNA from 1 species
AUUGAACGCUGGCGGCAUGCCUUACACAUGCAAGUCGAACGGCAGCGCGGGAGCAAUCCUGGCGGCGAGUGGCGAACGGGUGAGUAAUAUAUCGGAACGUGCCCAGUAGUGGGGGAUAGCCCGGCGAAAGCCGGAUUAAUACCGCAUGAGACCUGAGGGUGAAAGCGGGGGAUCGCAAGACCUCGCGCUACUGGAGCGGCCGAUAUCAGAUUAGCUAGUUGGUGGGGUAAAGGCCUACCAAGGCAACGAUCUGUAGUUGGUCUGAGAGGACGACCAGCCACACUGGGACUGAGACACGGCCCAGACUCCUACGGGAGGCAGCAGUGGGGAAUUUUGGGACAAUGGGCGCAAGCCUGAUCCAGCAAUGCCGCGUGCAGGAAGAAGGCCUCGGUU